ACCCGGUCCAUGCCCUCCGGCUGAAUCCGGGCGGCCUGUAGGCCAGGCAGCCAGGAGGCCCUGUGCUGCAACAUCCCGGCGGCAGCCGGACCCGUUGCUCCGUCUAUCCUGCCUUCGGCCCUGUCCUGGAGCCAGGGCUGGGGUUUGCUGCCUCCCGCCUGACGGAGCAGGACUGGCAGGAAGCGUGUUUGCAAGAAGCCAAAAUUACAGAAGGCGAAGAUUUUUAAAUUAACUCCAUUCAUCUUUCAAGGGACAUUUCCAGAACCUCCAAAAGGCAACCCGAGGAUCUCAGUCGGUCGCCCAGGCUGGAGUGCAGUGGCACCAUCCCGUCUCACUGCAACCUCUGCCUCCUGCCUCCUGGGUUCAAGCGAUUCUCCAGCCUCAACCUCCCAAGUAGCUGGGAUUACAGGUGUGUGCCACCUCACCCGACUAUUUUUUUUUUGUAGAGACGGGGUUUCACUGUGUUGCCCAGGAUGGUCUUGAAUUCCUGAGCUCAAAGCAAUCCUCCCGCCUCUGCCUCCCAAAGUGCUGGGAUUACAGUUUAAAUUGACUUUAAAUUAUGCCUCCCUGUAGCAACUUAUCAUCUCAAUCUUCUGCCUUCUUGAUUGAAUACAGAACUCCGACCCUCUUCCUUAUGUAACAGCCCUUUGGAGAUUUGAAGAAGGUUGUCAUAGUGAAGUAGCUCUAGAGGUUCUGUGUCACUGAGAAUUACAGCGG
rnacentral:lncRNA from 10 species